AUGCGGAAGCUGGAAGCCUGCCCCUUCCGAUGGCCAUAUAAAUCCUGGGCACUGGACAGUGUCCAGUCGGAGGUUGUUUUGACCCAGCCAGAGGCAGAGACUGGCCGUCCCGCAGGCAGCCUGAAACUGACCUGUAAAACCAGCGGGUUCAAUCUUGGCAGCUACUACAUGAGCUGGGUCCGACAGGUUCCCGGACAGGGUCUGGAGUGGCUGGUUAGCUACUAUACUUCAUCCAGCAGUUACUAUGCACCAGCGAUUACGGGUCGAUUUACUGCGUCCAAAGACACUUCAAACAACAUUUUCGCGUUGGACAUGGAGAACCUGAAGAUCGAAGACACCGCCAUCUAUUACUGUACAGGAGACCAAAGCGAGAGGAACCAGGGCUGGACCCAUUCAAGAACAGUUUCACUUGUUACAAAGCCAGUGCUCUUCAGGAAUAAUUACACAGUGUAUGUUAUAGUAGAACAAGUCUUACUGGAGGCGACGGUGACGUUAACCUGCAGUGUGUCCAAUCUUCCUUCUGGAGUCAAUGUCACCUGGAGACAAGAAAAGAAGCCUCUGAAAUCAGAGAUUGCUGAGCAGCCUGGACAGAAUCCCGACAGCGUGAUCAGCAAAUUAGACAUUUCAACUGAGGCCUGGCUGAGUGGCGUUACUUUUGAAUGUGUGGUGUACCAUCAGAAUCUACCGAGUCUGCUGAGAGACGCCAUCCACAAGGAGAAAGUGAUUAAUCCGCUGGAGCCAUCAGUGUCGGUCCUCCUGCCACCAACAGGAGAAAUCUCCGCUCAGAGGUUUCUCUCCCUCACCUGUUUAGUGAGAGGUUUCUCCCCCCGAGAGAUGUUCGUCAAGUGGACAAACAAUGACAAGCCGGUGAAUCCCAGUAACUACAAGAACACCGAGGUGAUGGCGGAGAGUGACAACACCUCCUUCUUUAUCUACAGCCUGUUAUCCAUUACAGCGGAGGAGUGGGCCAGCGGUGCUUCUUACUCCUGUGUGGUGGGACAUGAAGCGAUUCCAUUGAAGAUCAUCAACAGAACAGUCGAUAAAUCCAGCGGUAAACCUUGUUUUGUAAACAUUUCACUUGCACUGAUGGACACUGUUAAUUCAUGUCAAUAAAAAUCUCAAAGUUGCAUUUAAUAAUUCAA